rnacentral:rRNA from 1 species
GGUGGAUCAGUGGCGAACGGGUGAGUAACACGUGAGCAACCUGCCCCCUACUUCGGGAUAAGCCUUGGAAACGAGGUCUAAUACCGGAUACGAGCACUGAUCGCAUGGUCGGUGUUGGAAAGUUUUUCGGUAGGGGAUGGGCUCGCGGCCUAUCAGCUUGUUGGUGGGGUAAUGGCCUACCAAGGCGUCGACGGGUAGCCGGCCUGAGAGGGCGACCGGCCACACUGGGACUGAGACACGGCCCAGACUCCUACGGGAGGCAGCAGUGGGGAAUAUUGCACAAUGGGCGAAAGCCUGAUGCAGCGACGCCACGUGAGGGAUGACGGCCUUCGGGUUGUAAACCUCUUUCAGCAGGGAAGAAGCGAAAGUGACGGUACCUGCAGAAGAAGCGCCGGCUAACUACGUGCCAGCAGCCGCGGUAAUACGUAGGGCGCAAGCGUUGUCCGGAAUUAUUGGGCGUAAAGAGCUCGUAGGCGGUCUGUCGCGUCUGGUGUGAAAUCCCAUGGCUCAACUGUGGGCUUGCAUCGGGUACGGGCAGACUAGAGUGCUGUAGGGGAGACUGGAAUUCCUGGUGUAGCGGUGGAAUGCGCAGAUAUCAGGAGGAACACCGAUGGCGAAGGCAGGUCUCUGGGCAGUUACUGACGCUGAGGAGCGAAAGCAUGGGGAGCGAACAGGAUUAGAUACCCUGGUAGUCCAUGCCGUAAACGUUGGGCACUAGGUGUGGGGCGGGUUCCACUCGUUCUGUGCCGCAGCUAACGCAUUAAGUGCCCCGCCUGGGGAGUACGGCCGCAAGGCUAAAACUCAAAGGAAUUGACGGGGGCCCGCACAAGCGGCGGAGCAUGCGGAUUAAUUCGAUGCAACGCGAAGAACCUUACCAAGGCUUGACAUGUACGAGAACGCGUUAGAGAUAACGAACUCUUUGGACACUCGUACACAGGUGGUGCAUGGUUGUCGUCAGCUCGUGUCGUGAGAUGUUGGGGUUAAGUCCCGCAACGAGCGCAACCCUUAUCCUAUGUUGCCAGCGGGUCAUGCCCGGGACUCAUGGGAAAA